AAGCCCAUGGUGACUAUCUUCGAGUUCUAGACAGCCCUAGGAUCUCAACUAUACCAUUUUCAGGUCGGGGAACCAUCGGAAAACCCAAGAACCGUAACCCUAGAUCAUCGUAUUGUUCAUGUACACGUAAAUGUUAAGGUUUCAGUGGUUUUUGAGUUUCUAGGGAGCUUUAGAUUAUCUCCACGAAGCUCGGAUAAGAAAAACUAGGUGAAAUGGACGUCGAGAAGCCC
rnacentral:lncRNA from 1 species